GCCCACCACUGCUUUCACCACGCGCUAGUAUUGUGAUGUCUGAGUAUGAGGUACCCUGAUCAUGCUUCUACCGCCCACCACUGCUUUCACCACGCGUUAGUAUUGUGAUAUCUGAGUAUGAGGUACCCUGAUCAUGCCUCUACCGCACACCACUGCUUUCACCACGCGUUAGUAUUGUGGUGUCUGAGUAUGAGGUACCCUGAUCAUGCCUCUACCGCACACCACUGCUUUCACCACGCGUUAGUAUUGUGAUGUCUGAGUAUGAGGUACCCUGAUCAUGUCUCUACCGCACACCACUGCUUUCACCACGCGUUAGUAUUGUGAUGUCUGAGUAUGAGGUACCCUGAUCAUGCUUCUACCGCACACCACUGCUCUCACCACGCGUUAGUAUUGUGUGAAAUCAGAGUACGAAUAACCCUCAUCGUGCCUCUAUCGUACAACAAACGCGCGGCCCUGACAGAUAACAACGAGCGAAGAACGAAACGGAAAACAUCCCCAACUAAAACGACACGUAUCGUCAAAUAGCCCAAUAAUUGUGCGGUAGGUGACGUCACACAAAACAACGUUUUCUAACAACGCAUUUUGAUUGAAGGUCUACAACAUUUCUUCUCCAGAGUUUAAUAUAAAAAAAACACGUAGAUAUAUGAUGUAUACGUGCUACGUACGAGAGACACGGAAAACAGCGGAGAUCGAAGGCUAAAGGCUCGAGGUAACACCACGAAGAACGGAUGCGCAGAGAGACACGCACUAAUAACAAGUGAAUUGUUAGCAUUGGCGCGGAAACACGAACAAUCGCACGGAUUCGCUCUCUCACAACGCACGCACGGACGCACGUACACACACGCGCGCGCAUACAUACACAAAGACACACGCGCGCGCGUACG